AGUUAAAGACGCCUGCGCGGGAGCUCUGGUGACGCGCCAGUAGGGCUGGGUCCAUGGACCGCGGCACCGGGAAGGGGCCGAGGGCGGAGGGAUGUGUUCGCUUCAGCAGUGUUGGCUUCCAGCUGCGAAGUCACUUCGUCGGAGGCGCGGCCCAUCCCCCUAACCGCCACCCACGGAGCGGCUUCCCCACAUCCCAGCAGUGUCUACCCAAAGACCACCCAGAGCGCUUCCAGAGGUCUAUGUAAUGUUAGGACUCAUAGAUCUCCGCCGACUCCGUCACAGUCCGGCCCCUCCCUGACACCAGAGCCUUCCGGGAACACUUGUACCCACUACGGCAGUCAUUCCCGGCCUAUGAACGAUCUUCAAACAUUCACAUCCCGUGAGAUCCACUAUCUAAAUAUGUACUCUCGUUUCCAAUAAACGUUGUCGCCAACCGUCA